CGGGGGAGCAAGCGUUGUUCGGAUUUACUGGGCGUAAAGGGCGCGUAGGCGGCCACCGCAAGUCGACUGUGAAAUCUCCGGGCUUAACCCGGAAAGGUCAGCCGAUACUGCGGGGCUAGAGUGCAGAAGGGGCAACUGGAAUUCUCGGUGUAGCGGUGAAAUGCGUAGAUAUCGAGAGGAACACCUGCGGCGAAGGCGGGUUGCUGGGCUGACACUGACGCUGAUGCGCGAAAGCUAGGGGAGCGAACGGGAUUAGAUACCCCGGUAGUCCUAGCCUUAAACGAUGAAUGCUUGGUGUCUGGGGUUUUAUAGUCCCCGGGUGCCGUCGCUAACGCUUUAAGCAUUCCGCCUGGGGAGUACGGUCGCAAGACUG
rnacentral:rRNA from 1 species